UACAGAGGUCCCAAGCGUUGUUCGGAUUCACUGGGCGUAAAGGGUGCGUAGGCGGUCGGGUAAGUCUGACGUGAAAUCUCACAGCUUAACUGUGAAACUGCAUUGGAUACUAUCCGGCUAGAGGAAUGGAGGGGAGACUGGAAUACUUGGUGUAGCAGUGAAAUGCGUAGAUAUCAAGUGGAACACCAGUGGCGAAGGCGAGUCUCUGGACAUUUCCUGACGCUGAGGCACGAAAGCCAGGGGAGCAAACGGG
rnacentral:rRNA from 1 species